rnacentral:sRNA from 1 species
AAGUGAGGUGAGGAUCUUUUCCAUGAUAGUUGUGCACUUAGCAGCGUGGAUCUCCUGCUUAGAACGACGCUUUCGUGGAUAAGGAACAGGCGGCGUGUAGGCAGUCUCGGGCUUCAUCGGGAUUCUCACUUCAUAUGGUGUAGUCCAGACCCAAUGUCGAUCGACACUAGAGGUGUGUCG